GGCAGAAGAAAGAAGCAGAUUUCAAGGAGUGUGCGAGACUUGGGGCCAUUAGAGCGUUGUUCUGAUGCCAGAUGUCAGCCAAGCUAUGGAGUGGGGUAGGAGAAGCCUAUUUUCCAGGGGUUCUGCAGAAAAGUGACAGCACACUCAAGUCAGGGGAAGAGAUGAUUAACCGAGGUGUGAGCAUGGUGCAGGGAACCAAGGUGACGGGCUGUAAGGCCAGCGCUCCAACCGCUGAGCCAAGCCAGCCAGGGCUCAGAGAAUGCUAUUUAAUUUCCUGCUGGUCUUGACUGAAAGAAUAGAGACCUGGUUUCAAAUCCCGUCUCCACCAAUAAGUAGUGGUUGAAGCUCCCUGAAGCAACUGUUGAGAUCAAGCACC